rnacentral:rRNA from 1 species
GUCUUUUAGAAAAUAAUUAAAAGUCUAGUCUGCUCCAUGAAUUAAUUUUUAAAUAGCUGCAGUAUACUUAACUGUACAAAGGUAGCAUAAUCAAUAGUUUUUUAAUUGAAAGCUAGAAUGAAAGAUUGGAUGAGAUAUAAGCUGUCUUAAAUUUGAUAAUAGAAUUUUUUUUAUUAAUAAAAAAAUUAAUAUAAUUUUAAAAGACGAGAAGACCCUAUAGAAUUUUAUCAUUUUAAAUAAUGUAGUAAUUUAUUAUAUUUAAUGAGAAUAAUUAGAAUGAUUUAAUUGGGGAAAUUUUAAAAUUUAUUAAACUUUUAUUAUAUUAAUACAUAAAUUAUUGAAUUUUUGAUCCUUUUUAAAGAUUAUUAGAUUAAAUUACCUUAGGGAUAACAGCGUAAUUUUAUUAGAGAGUUCAUAUUGAUAAUAAAGGUUGC